GGGGGUUUAGCUCGGUGAUAGAGCACUUGCCUAGCAAGCACAAGGCCCUGGGUUCGGUUCCCAGCUCCG
rnacentral:tRNA from 1 species